rnacentral:tRNA from 1 species
GGAGCUGUGGCUCAGUGGUAAAGCAUUCACCUAGCAUGUGUGAGGGGCUGGGUUCGAUCCUCAGCACCA